rnacentral:rRNA from 1 species
CCCAUUAAAGCGGUACGCGAGCUGGGUUCAGAACGUCGUGAGACAGUUCGGUCCCUAUCCGUCGUGGGCGUAGGAAAUUUGAGAGGAGCUGUCCUUAGUACGAGAGGACCGGGAUGGACAUACCUCUGGUGUACCAGUUGUCGUGCCAACGGCAUAGCUGGGUAGCUAUGUAUGGACGGGAUAAGUGCUGAAAGCAUCUAAGCAUGAAGCCCCCCUCAAGAUGAGAUUUCCCAACUUCGGUUAUAAGAUCCCUCGAAGAUGACGAGGUUAAUAGGUUCGAGGUGGAAGCGUGGAGACACGUGGAGCUGACGAAUACUAAUCGAUCGAAGACUUAAUCAA